rnacentral:rRNA from 1 species
AUUGAACGCUGGCGGCGGGCCUAACACAUGCAAGUCGAACGAGUGGCGGACGGGUGAGUAAUGUCUGGGAAACUGCCUGAUGGAGGGGGAUAACUACUGGAAACGGUAGCUAAUACCCCCUACCAUCGGAUGUGCCCAUAUGGGAUUAGCUAGUAGGGGGGGUAAAGGCUCACCUAGGGGACGAUCCCUAGCUGGUCUGAGAGGAUGACCAGCAACACUGGAAAGGAGACACGGUCCAGACUCCGACGGGAGGAAGCAGUGGGGAAUAUUGCACAAUGGGCGAAAGCCUGAUGCAGCCAUGCCGGGUGUAUGAAGAAGGCCUUCGGUUUGUAAAGUACUUUAAUCGGGGAGGCGUUACCCGCAGAAGAAGCACCGGCUAACUCCGUGCCAGCAGCCGCGGUAAUAC